UACGGGGGGGGCAAGCGUUAUUCGGAAUUACUGGGCGUAAAGGGCCCGUAGGCGGCCAACUAAGUCAGACGUGAAAUCCCUAGGCUCAACCUAGGAACUGCGUCUGAUACUGGAUGGCUUGAAUCCGGGAGAGGGAUGCAGAAUUCCAGGUGUAGCAGUGAAAUGCGUAGAUAUCUGGAGGAAUACCGGUGGUGUAGACGGCUUUCUGGACCGUAACUGACGCUGAGACACGAAAGCGUGGGUAGCAAACAGG
rnacentral:rRNA from 1 species